GACGAACGCUGGCGGCGUGCUUAACACAUGCCAGUCGAACGGGAUGAUUUAGAAGCUUGCUUUUAGAGAAUCUAGUGGCAAACGGGUGAGUAACACGUAGGCAACCUGCCGACAGGAUGGGGACAACAUUCCGAAAGGAAUGCUAAUACCGAAUGAAGCGCAGGAGAGGCAUCUCUCCUGCGUGAAAGAUGGCCUCUAUUUAUAAGCUAUCACCUGUCGAUGGGCCUGCGUCUGAUUAGCUGGUUGGUGAGGUAACGGCUCACCAAGGCGACGAUCAGUAGCCGGUCGGAGAGGAUGAACGGCCACAUUGGGACUGAGACACGGCCCAGACUCCUACGGGAGGCAGCAGUGGGGAAUCUUCCGCAAUGGGCGCAAGCCUGACGGAGCAACGCCGCGUGAGUGAAGAAGGUCUUCGGAUCGUAAAGCUCUGUUGAUGGGGACGAACGUGCGAAGGGUGAAUAAACCUUUGUAAUGACGGUACCUUUCGAGGAAGCCACGGCUAACUACGUG
rnacentral:rRNA from 1 species